rnacentral:rRNA from 1 species
AGUGAACGCUGGCGGUAGGCCUAACACAUGCAAGUCGAACGGCAGCACAGUAAGAGCUUGCUCUUACGGGUGGCGAGUGGCGGACGGGUGAGGAAUACAUCGGAAUCUACUUUUUCGUGGGGGAUAACGUAGGGAAACUUACGCUAAUACCGCAUACGACCUACGGGUGAAAGCAGGGGAUCUUCGGACCUUGCGCGAUUGAAUGAGCCGAUGUCGGAUUAGCGAGUUGGCUGGGUAAAGGCCCACCAAGGCGACGAUCCGUAGCUGGUCUGCGAGGAUGAUCAGCCACACUGGAACUGAGACACGGUCCAGACUCCUACGGGAGGCAGCAGUGGGGAAUAUUGGACAAUGGGCGCAAGCCUGAUCCAGCCAUACCGCGUGGGUGAAGAAGGCCUUCGGGUUGUAAAGCCCUUUUGUUGGGAAAGAAAAGCAGCAGGUUAAUACCCCGCUGUUCUGACGGUACCCAAAGAAUAAGCACCGGCUAACCUCGUG